CGGGACGGGGGAGUAAUGCUUGGGAAUCUGGCUUAUGGAGGGGGAUAACUACGGGAAACUGUAGCUAAUACCGCGUAAUAUCGAAAGAUUAAAGUGUGGGACCUUCGGGCCACAUGCCAUAGGAUGAGCCCAAGUGGGAUUAGGUAGUUGGUGAGGUAAAGGCUCACCAAGCCGACGAUCUCUAGCUGGUCUGAGAGGAUGACCAGCCACACUGGGACUGAGACACGGCCCAG
rnacentral:rRNA from 1 species